CCGAAUCUAGUCCAAUGACAUCAAUGAGAAAAACUAGCUGCUAACCAGCAUGACUCUCAUAAAGACAUUAAGAACACCAUCAAAAUCAACUAAGUUUCUGGAAUCACGGAAAAAGGAAAUCAGAAAACUCAUAGAGUUUCUAGACUUUAUUGAAUAAAUUAAACCAAAAGAUUUAUUUAUUUAUUUUUUUAAAACAACGUUGGCAAAAGGAAAACCAACCACCAGUAAUAUUCCUUUAUAACAUGACAUACAGAGCGUCACCUAGUUAUUCCAGGGCCUCAACGCACCAAUGAACAAUUGAUCUACCAUAACCAAGCCACAACACCUUAAAGAGUAGCCUGGUAAGAUGACCAAAACCUGCCCAAAUAUGAGACAAUAGAUCUGUCAAAAGAAGAGUAGAUCAACAUAGGUCCACACAAAAAUCGAAGAACACUGAAGAUCUGACGAGAUCAGGGGGUUCCCCCGGAUCUAAGCUUUCUCUUUCUCUCUCUCAACAACUAGGGUUUUCUAGGGUAUUAGUUUCAUUUCCACCUAUCUGAUAUUUACAGUAGAUGAAUUUCCC
rnacentral:lncRNA from 1 species